AGCGUCCUAGAGACGCCGAAUGGGCAGCCCCUCUGAGACCCCGCGGCUUGGGGUCCGCGCACGCGGGUGCCGGCCCAGCUAGGCGGAGAAUCGAGGAGGGGUCCCCGGGCUCAUCACAGAGGAUUGGAAGGGCCUAGAUUACUGCCCAAUGACAAAAGUGCGGGCUUAAUGUCCUCACUCUUCAGGGAGAGAAUGUGGACUUUAGCAUUUGAACUGAAUAUUUGAGAUUGAAGAUUUCUGAAUACAUUCCCAAAGUCAGAAAUAUUUUAUCUUGAAGGGCAUGAAACGAAAUAGCACCAAAACAAAUGCUCCCAAAGGCAGCAGCACCCUCUCAGGCAGUACCAAAGCCAGGGAUUUAAUGUGCAAAAUGGCGAUUAUACCGGACUGGCUUAGGUCGCAUCCUCACACACGAAAAUUUACACAUUCAAGACCCCAUUCUUCACCGUGUAGAGUAUAUUCAAGGAAUG
rnacentral:sRNA from 1 species